AGGAUCAGAAGAUCACAGAGAUGCUGACGCUGAGGAACUGCUCUGGUAUCAAAGAUAAUUCACCAAAUUCUUACACAAAGUGUGUGCAGUGUGUCUCUUCUGGGUGUCACUGGUCCUCUUCCUCCAAGCGUUGUGAUUGGACACAUGGACGUGGGCCGCAGUUACACAUACAGGAUGCAUGUAAAGAUCUGCUCUAUGAGGUGGUAGGAAAAUUUACAUAUAAACUUUUUAUUUAAAACAACAGUUGUUUUCUC